UGUUCCAGGCGCCCACGCUCCUCCCAUGGGGCACCUGGCAGAACAACGGCGCUCCUCCUCCCAGCCGCUGUUCGAUUAUUCGAAAGCCUGCCGCUCCUCCCGCGGCAGGCUUUUCCA
rnacentral:sRNA from 1 species